rnacentral:rRNA from 1 species
UGGGGAAUAUUGGACAAUGGGGGCAACCCUGAUCCAGCAAUGCCGCGUGUGUGAAGAAGGCCUUCGGGUUGUAAAGCACUUUAGUUGGGGAAGAAGGUAAUAAGUUUAAGAGAUAAAUUAUUUGACGGUACCCAAAGAAUAAGCACCGGCUAACUCUGUGCCAGCAGCCGCGGUAAUACAGAGGGUGCAAGCGUUAAUCGGAGUUACUGGGCGUAAAGGGCGCGUAGGCGGUUAUAUAAGUUUGAUGUGAAAUCCCCGGGCUUAACCUAGGAACUGCAUUGAAUACUGGGUAACUGGAGUACUGUAGAGGGUAGUGGAAUUUCCGGUGUAGCGGUGAAAUGCGUAGAGAUCGGAAGGAACACCAGUGGCGAAGGCGGCCACCUGGACAGAUACUGACGCUGAGGCGCGAGAGCGUGGGGAGCAAACAGGAUUAGAUACCCCUGUAGUCC